rnacentral:tRNA from 1 species
GCACUUGUAGCUCAGUUGGAUUAGAGCGUGAGCCUCCGAAGUUCAAGGUCGUGCGUUCGAGCCGCACCAAGUGCA